rnacentral:lncRNA from 1 species
UUGGACGACUGGACGACAGCCCAUGUAGGAGUGCUCGCGUUGCAGCGGUACGAAAGCUUCUGUUGAGUCUAUUUCAAUGUCAACAAGACGGCAAGCAGCUAUUCUGCAGUGGUCGCGUGAGCAGUUUAUUUAAAUGGCUCUUUGGGGGUGCGGAAGGAGCUUGGUCGUUGCCUAUAAGACAGCUGAUGUUGCCGCCAAGACACGGGAACAUCCGAGACACGGACACGGGACAGCAACUAUAGGAAGAGAGCGAGGUCAUCCUGCGGCGAAGCCGAGGGAACUAACUGCCAAGCGGCACACUCGCAUCAGAAGCGAUGGAACAAAAGGUUGACACCGGUGGCGGCGACCUGCAAGGGCGCAGUCGCACCACGAAAGGCGGGCCGCAAUUUCGGCGGCCAACGAGGAUGCGAGCGCCACUGCAGCGUUCUCAACACGCGCUGUUCCACAUUUCUGCUCGCCGCACGUAUAUACUCUACAAUCUGGGCGCGCGCGCGUUAUCAUCAGAAGGAAUAAAAUCGCGCGCAGGGCCGCUUCCUCGCUGGAAGAACGCCUUAAUUAUGA